UACGUAGGGUGCGAGCGUUAAUCGGAAUUACUGGGCGUAAAGCGUGCGCAGGCGGUUUUGUAAGCCAGAUGGGAAAUCCCCGGGCUUAACCUGGGAAUGGCAUUUGGGACUGCAAGGCUUGAGUGCGGCAGAGGAGACUAGAAUUCCUGGUGUAGCAGUGAAAUGCGUAGAUAUCCGGAGGAACACCAGUGGCGAAGGCGGCUUUCUGGACCGACACUGACGCUGAUGCGCGAAAGCUAGGGGAGCAAACGGG
rnacentral:rRNA from 1 species